rnacentral:lncRNA from 1 species
UUUAAACCUUUUUGUAGCAACAAGGUCUCACUAUGUUGCCCAGGCUGGUCUUGGACUCCUGGGCUCAAACAAUCGUCCCGCCUUGGCCUCCCAAAAUGCUGGCAUUCCAGGCAGGAGCCACUGUACCUGGCCCCACCUUCUUUUUGCUGUAGGCUGAGCACAGGAGAAGUUGAAUUUAUCAGGGAACCUAAAGACAUGCCCUUCUUUGAAGGCAGAAGUCCUGUCCACGUCAAAUGCCCUCCCUCCAUCCCUCCCAGCUCCCUAGUCAUCCUUCCUAUUCUAGGCUCCAGGAGCGAGACCUCCUCCAUGUGCCUGCUAACGUCAGUGCCACGGGCCCUCUUUGGUUCUCCUGCCCACCUUCUCUGACUCUGCCCAACACCCACGGGCCAGAGGCCCUUUUCCUUCUUGGCACUUCUCGGUGUUGUAGCAGGAUGAGCCACGGACAAAACCCCUCAGACGCCGGGUUAAGGAAUGAUUUGGUUUUAUUCGGCCAGGAGCUUCAGCGGACUCAAGUCUCAAGAACCGAACUCUCUGAAGACAGAGUUCCUGGCCCUUUUAAGGGUUUACAACCUUUAGGUUCCACGUGAAAGGGUCGUGAUAGAUUGAGAGCACAUGCGUUUAGAGUGGGGUGGGGGGGUUAAUCUUUUAACCUCAGGCCUGAUCAUCAGGGGCACCAGCUGGUCUUGCCACUGACUUCAUUCCUGUUGUUUUUCAACUUUUACUUCCUCCUCCUCUUCAGACAGGAGACAGUAAGAGAAAUGGCCUCUCUCCUCAGCGGCACAAUGGACUUUAGACAUCGCGCCUGUUUUGUACUCUCCAAGCCGGACUUCUCUACUCGCUGGCCUGGCGCUGAUGCCCAGAGGCCCCCUGUGCUUGUGGUCGUGGCCUUAGACAGUUCCCUGCCCUUUGUUCCAGCCCCGCCACACAGUCUGCACGGCCUCCACCGCAGCUCUGGUGAGCCUCUUGGCCAGCUCCUGGUGACAGCGUGCACCUCCCUGCUCUGAGAAGGUCUCCCUCUCCUCUCUGCCCACCCUGUACAGAGACAUCUUUCAAGCCCAUCCCAGAGGAGAGUGGCCUCUCUCCUCAACCCCAAGAGGACGGCCUCUCAUGUGGCUGUCACCCAUCUGACCCCUAUCACAGACCUGAGGGUAAGUGGUGCUCACGGGCCCACAUCUGUCAGCCUGCGCCUGGUUGGAGACGCCUCCCUCUCAUUUGUCCUUGCUUGCUGCGUGACUUUGGCAAGUGCUUGCCUCUUUGAGACCCUCAGUUUUCACACCUGAGAAAUAGAAAGGUGGUGCCUGCCCCAGCUGCCACGCAGAAGAGUUUAGGUGGCAUGUGAGAAAAUGCCUUAUGAACUACGAUGUGAGC